rnacentral:rRNA from 1 species
GAUGAACGCUGGCGGCGUGCCUAAUACAUGCAAGUCGAACGCUGAAGGAGGAGCUUGCUCUUCUGGAUGAGUUGCGCACGGGUGAGUAACGCGUAGGUAACCUGCCUGGUAGCGGGGGAUAACUAUUGGAAACGAUAGCUAUUACCGCAUGACAACAGUUAUUGCAUGAUAACUGUUUAAAAGGGGCAACUGUUCCACUACCAGAUGGACCUGCGUUGUAUUAGCUAGUUGGUGAGGUAACGGCUCACCAAGGCGACGAUACAUAGCCGACCAGAGAGGGUGAGAGGGUGAACGGGGACUGAGACACGGCCCAAAGUCCCAGGGGAGGCAGCAGUAGGGAAGUGUCGGAAAUGGAAGGAAGGCUGAACGAGCGACGCCGCGUGGGUGAAGAAGGGUUUCGGGUCGUAAAGCUCUGUUGUAAGAGAAGAACGGGUGUGGGAGUGGAAAGUUCACGCUGUGACGGUAUCUGAUCAGAAAGGGACGGCUAACUACGUG